GCGGGCGUGGCGGAAUUGGUAGACGCACUGGAUUUAGGUUCCAGCGACGAAAGUUGUGGGGGUUCGAGUCCCUCCGCCCGCA
rnacentral:tRNA from 1 species